rnacentral:rRNA from 1 species
UUCUUUAAAAUUAAAGAAUUUGGCGGUAUUUUAGUCUAUUCAGAGGAACCUGUUUUUUAAUUGAUAAUCCACGAUAAUUUUUACUUUUGUUUUAAAUUUAUAUAUCGUCGUUUAUAAAAAUUUUACAAUUUAAUUUUUUCAGAUCAAGGUGUAGUUUAUAUAAAAGUUAAAAUGGGUUACAAUGAAAAUUUUAAUUAAAUUGGAUUUGACAGUAAGCUCUAAAAUAUGCACAUAUCGCCCGUCGCUUUCACUUUAAGGUGAAAUAAGUCGUAACAAAGUAGGCUUAUUGGAAAAUGAGCCUGGAAUGCAAAUUAGAGCUUGUUAAGCGUUUUAUUUACAUUAAAAGGUUAUCUGUGAAAUUCAGUUUAAUUUGAACUUAAUUUAUUAUUUUUUAUUUUAUUAUUAUUUUAUUGGAAAAAAAAUGUUUAUUUUUAUUUUUUUUCUGAAAAAAUUUUAUUAUAGUUUAAUUUACUGUUAAGGAUUUAGGGUAUGUUCUUAAAAGAAUAAUUUGUUUUUUGUACCUUGUGUAUCAGGGUUUAUUUAUUUUAUGUUCCCGAAUUUAGAAGAGCUAUUUUUAUUGUAAAAUAACUAUUUUUAAUUUUUUCAUAGGGGUGAAAUGUUAUUCGUUUCUUAUUAUAUCUGGUUUUUCAAGAAAUUAAUUUAAUUUACUUAAAUUAUAGUAAUUUGUUUUGGGGAUAAGCUCAUUAUUAUAUUUUUAAAAUUUAAUUGUUUUUAAUUUUAUAUAGGAUUAGAAUUUUCCAUUAUUUUAAUUAUGUUAUAUUUUAUAGAUUUAAUUUUUUAUUGAAAUUUGGUUUCUAACUUUUCAUUUUCAGUAAUGAUGAUAAAAUUAGUAAGGUUAAGUAAAGGAAUUCGGCAAAUUUAAUUUCCACCUGUUUAUUAAAAACAUGGCGUUUUGUUGAUAAUUUAAGGUCUGACCUGCCCAAUGAUUUAAUGGCCGCAGUAUUUUGACUGUGCAAAGGUAGCAUAAUCAUUAGUUUCUUAAUUGGAAGCUGGUAUGAAUGGUUUGAUGAGAAAUUUACUGUCUCAUGAAUUUUAUUUUUAGGUAAAAAAGCCUAAAUCUUGUAUAAAGACGAGAAGACCCUAUAGAGUUUAGUUGGUUUUUUUUAAUUUAAGUUA